UGGGGAAUAUUGCACAAUGGGGGAAACCCUGAUGCAGCGACGCCGCGUGAGUGAAGAAGUAUUUCGGUAUGUAAAGCUCUAUCAGCAGGGAAGAAAAAGACGGUACCUGACUAAGAAGCCCCGGCUAACUACGUGCC
rnacentral:rRNA from 1 species